rnacentral:rRNA from 1 species
AUUGAACGCUGGCGGCAGGCUUAACACAUGCAAGUCGAGCGGGGUGAUGGUGCUUGCACUAUCACUCAGCGGCGGACGGGUGAGUAAUGCUUAGGAAUCUGCCUAUUAGUGGGGGACAACAUCUCGAAAGGGAUGCUAAUACCGCAUACGUCCUACGGGAGAAAGCAGGGGAUCACUUGUGACCUUGCGCUAAUAGAUGAGCCUAAGUCGGAUUAGCUAGUUGGUGGGGUAAAGGCCUACCGAGGCGACGAUCUGUAGCGGGUCUGAGAGGAUGAUCCGCCACACUGGGACUGAGACACGGCCCAGACUCCAACGGGAGGCAGCAGGGGGGAAUAUUGGACAAUGGGGGGAACCCUGAUCCAGCCCUGCCGGGUGUGUGAAGAAGGCCUUAUGGUUGUAAAGCACUUUAAGCGAGGAGGAGGCUCUUUUGGUUACUACCCAAGAUGAGUGGACGUUACUCGCAGAAUAAGCACCGGCUAACUCUGUGCCAGCCGCCGCCGUAA